rnacentral:snRNA from 1 species
AUUUUCUGGAUCUUACUAAACAUCCGAUAAAAUUAAAACGAUACAGAGAAGAUUAACAUGGCCCCUACGCAAGGAUGACAUGCACAAAUCAAGAAAUGGUCCAAUUUAAA